rnacentral:misc_RNA from 1 species
AACGCACAUUGCGCUCGAGGCCUCGGCCGAGAGCAUGUCUGCCUCAGCGUCGGGUAACCCCUCAGCCUCUCCCCCCCUCUGCACGCAUAGGGGGCGGGCUGGACCUGGCCGUCCCCGCGCACACUCUGCGCCGGGUCAGCUGAAGUCUGCAGCGGCGCGCGCACCUGCAGGGACCCCACCACGGGCUGCAACUGGGUAGAUGGCGUGCGCAUGCGCACUCACCAUGCACAGCUGUGAGCCCCGGUGUCCGGCACCCCUGCGCACCCCCGCGGCGCGCCCUCACUCCAGGGACCCACCCAAACCACAUGUCCUCGACCUGAGCUCAGGCAAGACCACCCGCUGAACUUAA